rnacentral:rRNA from 1 species
UACGUAGGGAGCAAGCGUUGUUCGGAUUUACUGGGCGUAAAGGGCGCGUAGGCGGCAAAUUAAGUCAGCUGUGAAAUCUCCGAGCUUAACUCGGAACUGUCAGCUGAUACUGAUCUGCUAGAGUGCGGAAGGGGCAAUCGGAAUUCUUGGUGUAGCGGUGAAAUGCGUAGAUAUCAAGAGGAACACCUGAGGUGAAGACGGGUUGCUGGGCCGACACUGGCGCUGAGUGCGCGAAAGCCAGGGGAGCAAACGGG